rnacentral:rRNA from 1 species
AGUCGAACGAAACCUUCGGGUUUAGUGGCGCACGGGUGCGUAACAUGUGGGAAUGUACCCUAGGGUAAGGAAUAAUAUCUGGAAACGGAUACUAAUGCCUUAUAAUGACUCCGGUCCAAAGAUUUAUCGCCCUAGGAUCAGCCCGCACCUGAUUAGUUUGUUGGUGAGGUAAUGGCUCACCAAGACUACGAUCAGUAGGGGGUCUGAGAGGAUGAUCAGCCACACUGGGACUGAGACACGGCCCAGACUCC